rnacentral:lncRNA from 1 species
AGCCCGCAGAGCCUCUCUCAAAGCUCAUGGGCUUCUUUCCUGCUACCAUAAAGCCCUACAGGGUGAGACCUUACCCCUCCAUCCUUCCAGAGGUGGUGUCUCCCGGGGGUCACUCUUUGCAUAUCCCAUCUCCCUUUACUGUAAAGCCAUUGUGUUCCACUCUGACCCAAGGGCCAAGCCUACCUGGAACCUAUAGGGUCAAGGCUUGAGAACCCUGUACAUGGCCAGGUAUAGUGGUACACACCUUUAUUAAUCCCAGCACUCAGGAGGCAGACACAGGCAGAUCUCUGUGAGUUCAAGGCCAUCUUGAUCUACAAAACAGGUCCAGGACAGCCAGGGCUCUGUUACACAGAGAAGCUCUGUCUCAAAACAAACAAACAAACAAACCCCAUACCUCUACAGCCUGGCCAGUUCUGGUGGGGACAUGGACUCCUCGCUGCUUUCUAGGGUUAGGCCUGAGCCAGGAGUGUGUCACCAGCGUUUGUUUCUGCAGACCCGUCUCUCCAGCAGGAAAGCAAUGUUCCCUGGAGAUCUUUUUCUGGAAGACCAGAGUCCCUGUGCUUCAGGAGAGCAAAGUUCAGUGGGGCCAGUUGUUCAAGAUCCACCAUCUUCCCAUAUUUGGUCAUACUGGCCACCCAGGCAGGCCCUAGCCCUGUGCUUUGCACACUAGGGUCCUCCUCAGUUGUCUUGUUAGCCCUUCCAGCCCAUUGACCUCUCUCCAAGUUAUUUCUUCCUCUCCUGCCCCCUCGACCAGGUUAAGUUCCCUGGAGAGAAUGUGUGCGUGCAGUCAGUGCUCACCGGGGACCAGCUACUUCUUCAUUUACAGUUCCUAUCCCGCAAGACUACCCUCUUCCUAGUUUCCCAAGCUAAACUGCCCAUUUGCAUGUUGAGAACAGAGGCUACCAGUCCAGUCUGGCUUCUGGGGGCCCAUGGUUCUGAAGACGCUCCCUGGUAAUGUCUACACCAGCGUACUGUUCGGUGAUUUCGGACUUUCAGCCCAAUCUGUUGCCUCUACAUCUAGCUCCGUUCUCGGCCCAUCAAGUUUCCCGGCUGCGUCCCCAACUCUGUGGUACUGCGGCAAAUGUGGUUGCAAGCAGAGGUCAGCGGUCUUGGCUCCCUAGCAGAGCUUUCUAGCCAGAGCAGAACCAAGGCAGAAAGUGAAGAUGAGCAGUGGUCAAGGCGCCGAAAGCAUUCUUCUCUCAGGUGGCGAAAUAAACUAUUCGGUUUGCUCCGACUGACAAGGAGGAAAGGCGGGGAGGAGGAAGAGGAGGAGAGAAGAAAGGAAGAGGAAGUGUUUGAGAGAGACUUGAUCCCCUCUUCCCAAACUUCGGCGACAGAGCCAGAACACUGGAAGCCAGACACAGACAGUGCCACAGAUUUGAUCUCAAAACUUU